rnacentral:rRNA from 1 species
UACGGGGGGGGCAAGCGUUGUUCGGAAUUACUGGGCGUAAAGGGUUCGUAGGUGGCCUACUAAGUCAGACGUGAAAUCCCUCGGCUCAACCGGGGAACUGCGUCUGAGACUGGAAGGCUUGAGUGCAGGAGAGGAACGCGGAAUUCCAGGUGUAGCGGUGAAAUGCGUAGAUAUCUGGAGGAACACCGGUGGCGAAGGCGGCGUUCUGGACUGCAGCUGACACUGAGGAACGAAAGCCAGGGGAGCAAACGGG